AACGAACGCUGACGGCAUGCCUAACACAUACAAGCCGAGGGGAUGACCGGAGCUUGCUCCUUGAUUCAGCGGCGGACGGGUGAGUAAUGCCUAGGAAUCUGCCUGGUAGUGGGGGACAACGUUUCGAAAGGAACGCUAAUACCGCAUACGUCCUACGGGACAAAGCAGGGGACCUUCGGGCCUUGCGCUAUCAGAUGAGCCUAGGUCGGAUUAGCUAGUAGGUGAGGUAAUGGCUCACCUAGGCGACGAUCCGUAACUGGUCUGAGAGGAUGAUCAGGCACACUGGAACUGAGACACGGUCCAGACUCCUACGGGAGGCAGCAGUGGGGAAUAUUGGACAAUGGGCGAAAGCGUGAUCCAGCCGUGCCGCGUGUGUGAAGAAGGUCUUCGGAUUGUGAAGCACUUUUAGUUGGGAGGAAGUGCAGUAAGCGAAUACCUUGCGGUUUUGACGUUACCGACAGAAUAAGCACCGGCUAACUCUGUGCUAGCAGCGGCCGCAGUAA
rnacentral:rRNA from 1 species